rnacentral:rRNA from 1 species
GAUGAACGCUGGCGGCGUGCUUAACACAUGCAAGUCGAACGGAAAGGCUCCUGCUUGCAGGGGUACUCGAGUGGCGAACGGGUGAGUAACACGUGGGUGAUCUGCCCUGCACUUCGGGAUAAGCCCGGGAAACUGGGUCUAAUACCGGAUAGGACGAUGGUUUGGAUGCCAUUGUGGAAAGUUUUUUCGGUGUGGGAUGAGCUCGCGGCCUAUCAGCUUGUUGGUGGGGUAAUGGCCUACCAAGGCGUCGACGGGUAGCCGGCCUGGGAGGGUGUACGGCCACAUUGGGACUGAGAUACGGCCCAGACUCCUACGGGAGGCAGCAGUGGGGAAUAUUGCACAAUGGGCGCAAGCCUGAUGCAGCGACGCCGCGUGGGGGAUGACGGCCUUCGGGUUGUAAACUCCUUUCGCUAGGGACGAAGCGCAAGUGACGGUACCUGGAGAAGAAGCACCGGCUAACUACGUG